GUCCUGUUUUAAAUUGUGCCCGAUGUUUGCAGAAACACAUCUGUAGAAAUGGGGGGGCAUCCCUGCUCACAACCUCUUUCCACAGGCUUGAAGGUGUGAAGGUUACAUGACAACACCUGAAGUCAGGUAGCCGCCGAGGCAACUCUGUGAUCAGAAUGAAUCUCCACUGACUCAGUAGUAGGCUUGACGGAGUCCCCCUCUAUAAUCUGACUGUCCAUCAUCCAAGCCAGAAAUGGGUGAAUCUCCGGUCACAAGCACUCUAAUACUUAAUGAGGAGAAAGCUGCCAACAGCAUAGAGUGACUUUCAAGAGUGUCAGAUUCAUAUAGCUAUUUCCCCUUGCAUUUGCAGUACAUCCAGUGUCAACCAACCAAAGAACUCUGUAGCUGUAGGUGGAAAGCCAAAAGCCUAUCUCACGCAGGGCCCCACAUCCCUCGCUUCUUGGGUGGGACAGCUUGGCCUCUCAACUUCUGACCAAAAUGCUGUCAACGUACCAUCAGAUUAUGAAAAAGAGCUGAGUGGGAACGUCUGUGACGAGGUGUUCUGGCUCAGUCUGCUGUCUAGGUACUACCUGUUACCAGGCAACUUAGAAUCAUAGAAUUGUAGAGACGGAAGGGGCCUCAAGGACCAUGUAGUCCAAACCCCUGCAAUGUAGGAGUCACAGCUAAAGAAUCCCUGACAGAUAGCCAUCCAAUCUCUGCUUAAAGGUAAAGGGACCCCUGACCAUUAGGUCCAGUCGUGACCUAAUCUCUGCUUAGGUACCUCCAAUGAAGGAGAGUUCACCACUUUCUGAGGUGGUCCAUUCCACUGUUGAACAGCUAAACUUAAAGGACUUUCCUGCUAUUAUCUCUGCUAUUAUGCCUCUGUAAUAAUAGUAAUUAUAAAAUAAUAAUAAUAAUAAUAAUAAUAAUAAUAAUAAUAAUAACAAUAAUUUCCCAUCUGGCUGGGUUUCCCCAGCUACUCUGGGCAGCUUCCAACAAAGAUUAAAAAUAUAUUAAAAUGUCACACAUUAUAAAAUUCCCUGAACAGGGCUGCCUUCAGAUGUCUUCUAAAUGUCAGGUAGUUGUUUAUUUUUUUGACAUCUGAUGGGAGGGUGUUCCACUGGGCAGGCACCACCACCGAGAAGGCCCUCUGCCUGGUUCCCUGUAACUUGGCUUCUUGCAGCGAGGGAACCGCCAGAAGGCCCUCGGUGCUGGAUCCCAGUGUCUCGGCUGAACAAUGGGGGUGGAGACGCUCCUUCAGGUAUACUAGGCCAAGGCCGUUUAGGACUUUAAAGGUCAACACCAACACUUUGAAUUGUGCUCGGAAACAUACUACGUACUGGAAGCCAAUGUAGGUCUUUCAAGACCAGUGUUAUGUGGUCCCGGCGGUCACUCCCAGUCACCAGUCUAGCUGCCACAUUCUGGAUUAGUUGUAGUUUCCGGGUCACCUUCAAGGGUAGCCCCACACAGAGUGCAUUGCAGUAGUCCAAGCAGGAGAUAACUAGAGCAUGCACCACUCUGGCGAUACAGUCCGCGGACAGGUAGGGUAAAGCAAGGCAUAUGGCCAGCCAAAGUAGCUACGUAGUUUUUUGUACAAACAGUAGUAAUGGAAUCCCAGAGGGGUGGAGGUAACAAUCCCCAUCCCACCACCUCACAAUCUAGAGCAGCCUUCCUCAACAGUGGAUCCCCAGAUGUUGUUGGACUACGGCUCUUAUCCUCCCUGAACACUGGUCCUGCUAGCUAAGGAUGAUGGGAGUUGUAGUCCAACAACAUCUAUGGACUCAAAAGCUGGUCUAGCGUGAAGGUAAGUAGCAUAUGAUGCCAACACCCUCCAGGUCCCCCUACCCUCGCUCUGCUUGCAGGGGUAGGGGCAGAGCUGCAUGGUCAAAUCCUGCUGUAUUUUUGCAGUGCUGGAGAAGGACAGAGAGCACAACGUGUUUUUGCAAGCGGCCCCAUUCAAAAUCUUGGUUUUGCUCUGUGGCGAGCCUUUCCUGGACUGAUAGCACCCAGAAGAGGUUUCCACGGUGACUACACUGGUGACACCUUGCCAUCUGACAAGUGCAUCACCCCGUUCCCCAAGCCAUUACUGGACAAGGCAAUUGCUGUAGUUGAUCUGUCUCUACUGGAGCAGAUAAUUACCAAACUUCUGCUGGGCCUUAUCUCAUCAGUCAGCUAAGAGUUACUUCCCACACACGCUCCCCCAAAGAAAACUCCUGCAUUCCCUCCUGAGAACAGCACCAGGGUCACUGAGCCAUUUCAGACGCCGUGUUGUGGGCUGCUACUGCAAGUUCAUCAUCCUGAUAGACAACCUAGAGUUCUUGUCUACAUGAACUGGAAAUGAGGAGCUGCUUUAGCUGUGCCUGUCUUUGGUCACUCCCAAGCCACUGUAUUUUCUGUGCAGCAGCCGUUGUCAACAUAUUCAGACCCACUUCCAACCCCAAUGUGCUCCACAUGCGACCUGCUUUUUAAUUUCUUUAACCCUCUUUUCCUUCUCUGUUGUUCAGUUUUAACCUUACUCCUAUUGUGCUCGCGACCAGUUUAUGGGCUUCCUAGAGUCAUCUCAUUGGUCACCGUGGGAUGAGGUGUUGUGCACUGGUUGGACACAGAGGAAUGGUAGGAGGAACCAGCUGGGGAAACCCCAGGGGAAGAAGGCUCAGAGCCCAGGGAGAGACUGGGAAGAGGAGGUGUCGGAAGCUGAAGGGGUAACAGGGCUUAAUGAGCUGGGAGUGUCUGGGGCAGAGAGAAGCUCAGAAUCAGAGGCAGAAGCUGAAGCAGGAGAGUGAGAGGAGGGAGGCCAAGAGGCAGAGAUGAGUCGGGCUAGUGAAGAGUCCCAGGUAUCUCCCCCUCCUGCUGCGACAAGCUCCCCUCCACCCCUGGUCUCCCAGAACCAGGAGAGGCAUGAAGUGGGAGGAGCAAAAACAGAAACAUAGGCACAAUCUCUGAUUGCUUGGGGGAAAAACUCUGGAGAAGAGGAAACAUAGGUGGUGAGGACCUUUAGUCUCAGCAACUGAUCCAUCGAGCAAGAACCUGAGUUCCUGUGCUAAUGAGGUCUGACACUCCACCAAAUCUGUGCUGAUCCUGUUCUUGCUGAUAAAGAUUUAACACCAACAUGCAUGGUGUGAUUGACUGCUGGCACACUCCUCUCAUGAAGGUUCUGAACCUGAUACGCCCCAGGUCUCCUUAUGUUCUCCUGUUCACUCCUCCACAAAGAAGAAAUGUUUUUUCAUCAAGGCAUCGUGUGGACUGGCAGGGAUUUCAAUGAACAGCUGCGGUUCCAAAUACAUCCAGUCUGAACUAGAAUCAUGAGUCAGACUUAAUAGAUACAAUUUAAAUUCUCCGCACAUCAGCAAUGUUCCUAACUCCAGCAGGGGACUCUAAGAAGAAAUGCUGAAAAAUCACUAAAACCCACUGACCUCAUGAUAUUUCCAGUCCACCCAGAGCCGGGGUGUUUUGACAAAGACUGAUUUCCCAGCAGGGCAAAACAUCCAGAAUAUGUGCUGGUUAAAUGAACCAAACUUUUCAAUUGGUCAAUCUUGGCCAGCAGGUCUCCAAGUUAGAUGGCUGAAUCAGGAAAUAAUUGUAUUUGAAGCUACGGACUUACUAAUGGGUUGACGAGAGCCCAGUCAACAACCCAAUUAAGCCAAUGUUCCUGGACUGAAAACAAUUUACUGUAGGGGGUGGAAGAUAAUUUUGUUCAGUCAUAUUUUAAAGUCAGCUGGCCAAAUUCGCCAUUUCCAGACUUAGACGACAAUCACAACACAGAUUGUUCAGUUCCCUGAAUUUCAUAAUGCAGUUCUAGGUUGUUGUUUUUUAAUAUGCAUGUAAAAAUACAUUUACAAGGGAAAUGCAUGCAAUGUGCACAUUUGAAGGGGCAAUGAAUGGAAAAGCAGCCUGCAUUUUCCAAUGGAAAACAAUGCUUAUAAUUUCAGUUUUUAAAAGGAGCAUAUUUCAGGGGGGCAAAGAGUAUAAAGUACAUAGAAAAUGUGUAUUUUUACGGGGAAGUGCAUGCAAAAUGUCUACCACUGAAAUGCAAUAUUCUUGUGAAUAUAUAUAUACAGGCAAAAAGCCAGGACACACCGUCUCAUGACUGGAGCUCAUCCAAAACUGACACCAACUGAAAUGGGCUGAUUCAUCCAUCCCUGAGAUUUACAUCCCAUUUCUAUCCACAUUUGCUUAGAACUGAGCCUGACCAAUUUCAGUAGAGCUGGUCCAAAGUGUGAUGGGGACUAUAGCCAAUGAUACAUAGAGACAGUUGGUUCCCCUGCAAACCAGAACUGGAUACAAUGUUCAAACCAAGGUUUACCAUUCUCAUGUGAGGUAAACCAUAACUUGUCUCAUUUGGAUGUACAGUGGUACCUUGGCUCUCAAACUUAAUCCGUUCCGGAGGUCCGUUCCAAAACCAAAACGUUCCAAAACCAAGGCGUGCUUUCCCAUAGAAAGUAAUGCAAAAUGGAUUAAUCCGUUCCAGACUUUUAAAAACAAUCCCCAAAACAGCAAUUCAACGUGGCUUUUGCUAUCUAACAAGACCAUUGAUCCAUAAAAUGAAAGCAAUAAUCAAUGUAAGGUAAAGGGACCCCUGACCAUUAGGUCCAGUCGUGGCCGACUCUGGGGUUGCGGUGCUCAUCUUGCUUUAUUGGCCGAGGGAGCCAGCGUACAGCUUCAUGUACUGUACUGUAAAAUAAAUAAAACAGUAUUGUAGAUCAUAAAAAAAAAAAAAUCUUACCUGCACUGAUGAUAGUCAAUGUUUGGAUGGGGGGAUUUUAUCCAUUUCCGCAGUCACACAAUCAAUCAAUCAAUCAAUCAAUCAGUAACUGAACUGGGAUCCACACAGUCACAAAAACAAAUUAACUGAAAAAGCCUCGAAACAAAAAAUGCAAAAUAAAUAGCAAAAACAAAAGCACCAAAUAUAAGCUCCAAAUAUCACCUUAGAACAUUGCAGUCAGAAACGGAAGGCUUGAAUUACAAUGGGGGGGGGCAAAUUAGCAGCGCAGCAGGAAACACAGGGGGACUCAAAACGGAGCAUGUUCGGCUUCCGGAAAAAAGUUCGAAAACCGGAACACCUACUUCCGGUUUUGCAGCAUUCGGGUUCCAUCUUGUUCGUGAACUAAGCUGUUCGAAAACCGAGGUACCACUGUAACAGCAAACUAUUGGAUUUCCACUAACCAGGAAAUCCUGGAGAGGGAAAAGUGUGCCGCUGAGACGUCAUUUAUGGUUUUAGCCUGAUAUCUGCUAUAACAUGCCGUUUCACUGUGAUUGCCUCUGAUUACUCUCUGUUUCCACAUCAUUUGCAUUUUGGAUAUGCCAGCUUCUGAGGCUGGAACACAAGAGGCAGGCUUGUGUUCACUGUAAGCUAGGUUUCAUAGCUCUUUAAUUAGUAAUAUUAAUAAUGCCACCUAAGCUUAAUGAGAGCAAUUAGAACACACAGUAAAUAUUGCCUCCUGCAUUAGAAACAGCAGCACUGGAAGACGAACUUUCAUACUUGGCCACGCUAUGGAAACCUACGACAUUUUAAAAGAGUGUGGAGGCAGGAAUGGGAGGAUAAGGCAAAUGUAGUUUAGCUUUUCAUGUGCUGGUGGUUCUUUUAAUUGCAAAAAAAGGGGAUAAUAGUUGCAAAUAAUAUUUGCAAGUGAAAGAGGCGCUCCCACGGAAUGCAAAAUUUCCUCCCCUCUCCUGGGCUUUUGCAACAACAAACGAAGACGUCAGUUUGACUCACACAAAUAGCAAGUGUUUUUGUGAUACCCCUGGCAGAUUAUUAAGGGCCACUAGUCAAAAGGGAGUAUUGGAAUAGAGACACCAUGUAAUUUUGGGGGGCUCUGAUUGCCAUGCAUUUUGUUGAAUGGAAGUAUUUUCCAGGUUUUGCAAGGAGAGAACAAUACACUGGAUAGUUACUCUUACUAGUAGCUUUGGUUAAUAGACAAUGUUAAUUAUACUCAAGAGUAGUUCUGUUGAAAUCAAUGGACUUAAUUAAUGGUGAUUCAUCGAUUUCAAUGAGCCUACUAUGAGUAUGACUCAGCUGGCUUUCACCAAUCUUAAUUUGUUUUUGGAGUAUAGAAUUUCACACAUAUAUGUUUGUGACACAAUAUGUGCUCUAGGUGUCACUUUGGAUGUAACAGCCAAAGCACUGCUUGGCCAUUAGGCAAUCAAAUUCCUGCCUCCCACCCACCCCUUGUUUUCCUAAGUACAUUUACUAGGAAGUAAGCCUCACACAGCUCAAUGGAACUUCCUUCUGGGUAAACAUGCUUACAACUGCACUGUUAGAGAUAUCUAAUAGUAGCUAAAUGUGCAAUUAAAAACCUUAUUAUCAAACAAGUUGCUGAGAUUUUCUUUUUUCUUUUUGCAAAAUCUCAAAAACAGAGUGAAAAAGAUUGUUGAGCUAUUUUUAAGGAAUUUCGCCAAAAUCUAGUUCUAAUAGGGUCGUCAUACAUCUGGAUUUGCCCAGAUAUUUAAGCGAUUUUCACCCGGAUACAGUUUCCAACUGUGGUAUUCCAGCUUUGUUUGGGAAAUUAUGGGUGUAUAGCAACCCUAUUAGAACAGCCAGGGCAGUUUUCAAAUUCUAGAUCUUAAUAUUUCUUUUUUGAAUUGGGAUGGCUUCUCUGCAAAUCCGAAUUUCUUAUCUGCCUUAAAUUUUGAGUUGCUUUGGUGAUAGUUUAGCCAAUUCGACACAUAUUCUUUAAUCUCUUCGGGGUUUUUCCCCAUUUUUUUGCUUUCCUUCUGAAGUCUAACUAUUCAUUAUAGGUUCCCCAGUUGUUACUCAUUUUUUUUUAAAAAAAAAUCCCUUGUCUCUGCUUCUAUUGGCGAUAGCCACCUUGGUGUUUUGUUCUCUAAUACGUUUUUAUAUUUUCCCCAUGCCCUAAUUAAGUUUUUUCCCUAAUAAUAUGGUUGGCGAAACUUUUACGUAUUCCAGCUUUGCCAUACCAAAUACAAGCGUGCCAGCUGUAUUUGACAUCAUGACCCUCCAAAUCUAGCCGCUGUGUAUUUUCUAGCAAUACCCAGUCUUUUACCCAACACAGACAGGCAGCUUCAAAAUACAGUUCUAAGUCUGGGAGUGCGAAACGUUGCCUUGUGUUGAAUUGUUGGGAUACUCUGUUCGGCUUGUUUGUUAUACAUUUAAUAAAAUAAAUAACUUGCAGAGCAAAGCAAAGUGGAAGAUGAGGAAUCCGAAACUCAAAGUGCAGCAGGCAGAUGGAAAUCCUCCACUGACCAGUAAAGAAAGCCGGACUGCUAAUACUGACACAUGACCUGGCCAAUCACAAAGGCUGGUCUGCACACCUCUUCCCUUUUGUGCUGCAAUAUAGCUCUGAAAACUGGCAACUAUAACAAAUAGGCAGUCCAUUGUGACUCUGAAGUCCUAGCUGAAAACUUAGGAUUGCCAUAUUCUGAAGAGCAAAAAAGAGGACACAUUUGCUGACUUCUACUUUUAACCAUAAGGGACACAGGUGGUGCUGUGGGUUAAACCACAGAGUCUAGGACUUGCCUAUCAGAAGGUCAGUGGUUCAAAUCCCCAUGACGAGGUGAGAUCCCAUUGCUCGGUCCCUGCUCCUGCCAACCUAGCAGUUCGAAAGAACCUCAAAGUACAAGUAGAUAAAUAGGUACCACUCCGUCGGGAAGGUAAACGGCGCUUUCGUGCGCUGUUCUGGUUCACCAGAAGUGGCUUAGUCAUGCUGGCCACAUAACCCGGAAGCUGUACGCCAGCUCUCUCAGCCAAUAAAACGAGAUGAGCGCCACAACCCCAGAGUUGGUCACGACUGGACCUAAUAGUGAGGGGUUCUGUACCUUUACCUUUUACUUUUAACCAUGGAUCGCUAUGAUGACUCUCACUUUACAUGCCCAUGCAAAAGAGGACGUGUCUUGGAAAAAGAGGACGUAUGGCAACCCCGCUUGCUUUGACAGGACUCUGAGUGUGGCCUCCACAUGUACAAACACAUAUUUUCAGCGUUGGUUAACACAGUGGACCUGACUGAAUCCAGCACUAUGGAGAGGCAGUAUGGUGAAGUGGUUAGCGUGUCCAACUAAGACCUGGGAGACCACGGUUAAAUCCUCACUCAGCCAUAAGCUCACUGGGUGUGACCUUGGGGCCAGUCGCUGCCACCCAGCCUAACCUACCCCAUAGGGUUGUUAUGGGGAUUUAAUGAGGAGGGGAGAGACCCAUGUAUGCCACCUCAAGCUCCUUGGAAAAAAUUGUGGCAUAUAAAUGGAACAAACCAAUAAUCACAAUGGCCCCUCUUUUAAAGGAAUCAGAGUCAGUCCACAACUUCAUUUCCCACUCAGUCAUAUGGGAAUCUCUCUGGCAUCUUCUCGAUCUCCUUUCUUUCAAGAAGAUUUCAUAGCUUUGCUUUGGCCACCUCUAUCCUGAAUACUAGGGAUGCGGGUGGCACUGUGGGUUAAACCACAGAGCCUAGGACUUGCCGAUCAGAAGGUCGGCGGUUCGAAUCCCCGCAACAGGGUGAGCUCCCGUUGCUCGGUCCCUGCUCCUGCCAACCUAGCAGUUCAAAAGCAUGUCAAAGUGCAAGUAGAUAAAUAGGUACCGCUCCGGCGGGAAGGUAAACGGCGUUUCCGUGCACUGCUCUGGUUCACCAGAAGCGGCUUAGUCAUGCUGGCCACAUGACCUGGAAGCUGUAUGCCGGCUCCCUCGGCCAAUAAAGCGAGAUGAGCGCCACCACCCCAGAGCCGGCCACAACUGGACCUAAUGGUCAGGGGUCCCUUUACCUUUAAUAAGCCCACUUGACCUCAUUGAUAAGUGCAGCUUCAUUUCCUACUAAGUCAUAUGGGAAUCUCUCUGGCAUCUUCUUGAUCUCCUUUCUUUCAAGAAGAUUUCUUUCAAGAAGAUUUCAUAGCUUUGCUUUGGCCACCUCUAUCCUGAAUAUUCUUCCCUGGAUGUUUUCUGCCCCUCUUGUUUUCCAAAGCAAAGGAGCACAAAGGCAACAAACUCAGGGAAGUUGAGAAGCGCAUCUCCGCCCCCAGCUCUACGGCAGCACAAUUUACAAGAAGGGGGCAAGCCAUAAUAAUAAAUAACCCGAAAGCUCCGGGGAAGAGUGACCUAAUCAAGAUGUAUAAUUGUGUGCCUUAUCUAAAUGAAAGCAUCAUUUCAGAAAUGGUAAUGCGCAUCCGUCUGGAUUGAAUUGCUAUACAGAUCAGCACUGAAGGAUAAUUAUAAUGUUUAACAAAUAUAUUCCCUUUGGGGCCUGCUGUUAAAGAUGCCACGUCCCUUUUGCUCCUGCAGCCUGCUGGCUGACAAAUUAUCCAAUAUCAUACGAGAGGAGGCCCAUUGCCCUUUUGACUUACCCAUCUAAGCACUUGCUUGCAUGUGUUCCCCAACCCCUGAGCAAUGGGAUACGCCACCCAGGCGCAGCUGAAGGGUGAACACAGAUGCCACAAACCCUCUCCAAUUUGGGUAUUUGCUUUGAAAUUAGCAUAUUCAACAUGGCUCAACAUAUUACCAAUAAACCAUUAAUGUCCCCAAACGCUUGUAAUAUAUCAUUGCUCUCUCAUCCCAUUGGCUGUUGCUGCUUCUUGGCACUGAUUUCUGUCUUUUCUGUCCCCCACGUCCCCCCCCACACACUACCAUUUACUCAGUUUGGCUGCGGUGAUCCUUUUAUUUAUUUGCUUAUGGGGUAUCUUUGAUGUCAUCAGGUACAUCAUACAGCCAUGGUGUCAUCCACGAAUCAGACUGACUGCUAAAGCCAACACACAGAGAAGAAGGUGAGGACCCCUGACUUCGUGACUCCUUGCUUCUUGAUCCUUGGAUCCCUGACUUCGUGACACCUUGCUUCUUGAUCCUUAGACCCCUGACUUCUUGACUCCUUGCUUCUUGACCCUCGGACUCUUGGCUUCCUGACUCCUGGCUUCCUGACCCUCGGACUCCUGGCUUCCUGACUCCUGGCUUCCUGACCCUCGGACUCUUGGCUUCCUGACUCCUGGCUUCUGGACUCCCAUUCCUGCUCCCACCCCGCCAUCUUGCCCCCGGUCCUGACGUCCCCAGCCAGGAUUUUGAUCGCCCCUGAACCAGACCAUGACAAGGUAGAAUCCCAUAGGUUCCUUUUGUCACCUGACAGCUGCUGUCAAAAUGUUGGCACACAGAAUUAAGCUUCUGGGUCUGGCUUGAUGAUGGUAGUGGGUCAAGACCUCAGGCAUAGAAGAGUUGUGAUUGCCAGUAAAAUUCUCAGAAUACUAAGAUACCAUUGACAGGAAGUUUGUUUAGUAAUGGGACCAGAAGGCUUUGUUGUUUGCUGCAGCCCCACAGAAGACAACCCUGUGCUUUCCUUUCACUUUCCAACUGCCUCUGGCCCUUUGAUCCUUGUCUGCUUGCCCUGGAACCUUGACCAUCAAGCUUGUCAUUUUAAUCCACUGCCUGCCUCAAGCCCUUUGGAGUUAACUUGGGCCUGCCUCUGUUCAACCCAUGCCAUUUGCAUCUGGCCAUGCUGGGCUCUGGCACCUUGCCUGAUUCCCUCCAGUGCUGACUCUAGAUCCAGCCCUGGAUUGGCUCCAAGCUCACAUGGGAAGAGGGGCAUAACACAGGGGCAGAGCACAUGUUUUGCAUGCCAAGGCGCCAGGUUCAAUCUUUGUCAUCUCCAGUUAAAAGGAUUUCACCCUGGAGAGCCAUUGCCAGUCACACAGCUGGGUAUGGACCAAAGUUCAGACUGGGUAUUAGGGAUGGAUGGAUGGAUGGAUGGAUGCAUGGAUGGAUGGAUGGAUGGAUGGAUGGAUGGAUGGAUGGAUCAACUCAGUUCAAGCCAAUACCAUUUUCACAGGCAUGCCUUCCUUCCGGUUUCUGCACUAACCUGUGAUUUUUUUAAGGAAGAAAACAAAAUCUACAGUGGCUGGUACCACUAGCUGCGAACGGAAUCUGUUCCGGAGCCCUGUUCGCAUCUAGAAGCAAAUGUAACCCGUGUCCGCACGCCCGCGGGUCAUGUUUUGGAGCUGCUGCGCAUGCGUGUGAUGUCAUUUUGAGCAUCUGCGCAUGCGCAAGUGGCGAAACAGCUGGCAAAGUAACGCGCUCCGUUACUUCUGGGUUGCCGCAGAGCGCAACUCGAACGCGCUCAUCCCGAAGCACAUUCAACCUGAGGUAUGACUGUAUAUGGAGAUUUGAAAAUUUAAUUUUAAAACACAAUUAAAUGCAUAUUUCUAUCACAGAAUGUGCACAUUCUUAAAUCCUAUUUUAUUCUAAAACCUUCCUUUUUAAAAACUCGUUUUUAUACUUUGAGACUAGGAAGUGCAGUAUUUGGAGAAGUGCAAAAUCUGAAGGCUGAAACCAUGUAUUAGUUCCGGUUGUGUGAAUUGGACUGGUCUGCUUGAAAACAUGAAUGAAUUUAAAUUCUCCUCCCUCCCUACUCAAUAUAAGGCAGCUUCAUGCACACAAACAAAUACACACAUGGGCCCCAGCUCCAGUCCGAGCUGCAGAGGCUCAAGACCGCAGGAGACAGAGACAUCUAAGGCCUAUGCUGUGUGGCUCUGUGUGAAAAAUCUUAUUCAAAGUGACCGAGGCCCACAUAAUAUCGGAGCGAGAGGCAAGAUCGAACGGGGAAACUGAAUAGACGCAAAACAGCUGGCGAAGGCAGUUAAUGGGCUAGCUUUAAAAGGCACUUUAUAUUAUUUUGUUCCUUUAAAAUGUAAUUUCCCCCAGAAGGAAUGGGGGAUGAGAUCAGCACACAGAAAAGACAAUUUGGUUUAAGGACAGACCUUGUCAGCUGCAAAAUGGAUGAUUCCCGCAUCGGGUUAUUAGCUUGGAAAACAAAAUCAAGGCAGCCCUAUAUUCCAUGAAUCCUUAAAAACCACAUUAACGAGAGAACAAGAGGGAGGAAUGUGCCGAAAUGAAUCAUUUCUGAACCUCCUCGAACAGGCUGAUUAAAGCCACUGGGCCUAAAUCAAAGGCAACAAGGAGGCAAAGUACUGAAGGGCCAGAAAACAGAUUUUAUUUAUUUUUUGCAGCAGGCCUGCUCUCCUGCAUGCUAUUGUUGUCUCUCUAAAAAAAGUUUAGUCUCAUCCUCUACUGAUCUUCCAAAGCAACAAAUAAUGGGGAAAAUAAAGCUCAGAGGAAGGGAUGCCAGACUUUGCUCGCUUCCUCUGUUUCUAUCCAUCCACAUCAAUAACACAAACCUAAUUUCCAGCAGACACAGGCCACAACAGCGCCGUGGGCACAGUCCGAAUGGAUUUUCCUUUCCGGACGAUCGCAAAAAAUCUGCGGUUGUUGCUUGUUUGUUGCACAGCGUCCAGCUGCCCUCCCCCAAGGGAGCUACUUUGGGGAGGGAAUAAUGCAUUUUAUCCAGCGCUCAAGCUACAAUAUGUUCUAGGUGAGGGAAAUGCUUAUAUCUCCGCAGUGAGAAGAGUAACUGGGAUUUGAUUUUUUUCCCUGUGCUGUUGGGUUUUCUUAGUGUCACAGGCACCUAUAGGAAAUGCGUGGAUGAAACGCCAAACCAGACUUCCCCAAGUCAAUGUCCCCCAGAUGUCUUGGAUCACAGUUCCCAUCAGCCCCAGCCAGCAUGACCAACUGUCAUGGAUGAUGGGAGCUGUAGUCCAAACCCAGCCCAAAAUGCACAGUCAGCACCACCGUGCUAUGCCUGUUGCUUCCAAAAUAAUCUAUAGCAUCCUCUGCCCCUUCUCGGUUGGCUUGUUAUAUUUGAGAAUUAGGCUCCCAACCUAGAAGUAACUGGCAGGUACCAAUGCAGUUACCAUUGAUUUUUAACCUUUUCUUUUUUAAAAAGACCAGGAAGGGAUGUUCAACCAAGAACAUCACCUUUUAACCACGUUACACAGCAUCAUGAUUUUUUAUAAGAUAGGAAAAUUGGGUUUUUGGUAUUUGCUUUCAAUUUAAUCAUUAAGUCCCCAUCUCAGGCAUAAAAACAGUUGCUUCUUGCCUUAGCAAAUAGGAAUCUUUGGGAUCCCAAGGAGACUUUGUUUCCGUAAAUGGGAACUCACCCAUGGACUUCCUCAUCCUCCUCUGUGUUGCUGAAGAAGUAUCAUCCACCACGCAGCUCCAGCAUAGCAGAAACUCAAAAACUACAAUCCUCGCUUCAUUUUUGGUAAGUCCACCCACUGGCCAAACUUCCACUCCCUCACCCCACUCCAGCUUCCUCCUGCUUUCAAACUGACCAGUUCCUUAGUCCUAGAAAAACCGCACUCUUUUCUCCCCUGCUGACAUCUCUUCUUCCUCCUUCAUUGUCUCACUUCAGAAUCUCAUGUUUCUUCUUCUUCUCUCACUGCACAUAGCCAGCCACUACUGUCCUUUUACAGAAAUGGAACUUUUACUUCUGAUCAUCCUCUACCCAUGGCCCCAAACACUUCCAAUUGCUGUCCUCUAACAUAUGCAGAAUUCAUCAUGCAAAAGGCUAGGCUGGAUGAAUCCCAAACCAGAAUUAAGAUUGCCGGAAGAAAUAUCAACAACCUCAGAUAUGCAGAUGACACAACCUUGAUGGCAGAAAGUGAGGAGGAAUUAAAGAACCUUUUAAUGAGGGUGAAAGAGGAGAGCGCAAAAUAUGGUCUGAAGCUCAACAUCAACUAAGAUCAUGGCCACUGGUCCCAUCACCUCCUGGCAAAUAGAAAGGGAAGAAAUGGAAGCAAUGAGAGAUUUUACUUUCUUGGGCUCCAUGAUCACUGCAGAUGGUGACAGCAGUCACAAAAUUAAAAGACGCCUUCUUCUUGGGAGAAAAGCAAUGACAAACCUAGACAGCGUCUUAAAAAGCAGAGACAUCACCUUGCCAACAAAGGUCCAUAUAGUUAAAGCUAUGGUUUUCCCAGUAGUGGUGUAUGGAAGUGAAAGCUGGACCAUAAAGAAGGCUGAUCGCCAAAGAAUUGAUGCUUUUGAAUUAUGGUGCUGGAGGAGACUCUUGAGAGUCCCAUGGACUGCAAGAAGAUCAAACCUAUCCAUUCUGAAGGAAAUCAGCCCUGAGUGCUCACUGGAAGGACAGAUCCUGAAGCUGAGGCUCCAAUACUUUGGCCACCUCAUGAGAAAAGAAGACUCCCUGGAAAAGACCCUGAUGUUGAGAAAGAUGGAGGGCACAAGGAGAAGGGGAUGACAGAAGACGAGAUGGUUGGACAGUGUUCUUGAAGCUACCAGCAUGAGUUUGACCAAACUGCAGGAGGCAGUGGAAGACAGGAGUGCCUGGCGUGCUCUGGUCCAUGGGGUCACGAAGAGUCAGACAUGACUAAAUGACUAAACAACAACAAAUUCUUUCCCUACAACUUUCUCAAAGCCACAUAAAAUCACCCAGCUCCUCUGGCAACCUCCCUCCUCUAGGCAGCAUGCAUUCUCCUCUUCAGACAAAUCCCUCUUCUCCUAGCUUCAGCCAUCUGCGCACAUCUCUUUCCCUGACCAAUUUUACUGCAUCCUAGAGUUUCUGUGUGUUUUCACGCAUGCUUUUGAACUGACAUCUUGGGCAAUUAGCGUUAACUCUUUUUUAAACUUGCC